rnacentral:ncRNA from 1 species
GUCGAAGGAGCGAAGCUUAGAGCCUUUACUUUAUGUAAAGCGCACUCACUCUAACGGCGUACCUUUUGCAUGAUGGGUCAGCGAGGAAAUAGGAACAGCGGCUUAAGCCAUUAGGUGUAGGCGCUUUCCAGAGGUGGAAUCUUCUAGUUCUUCCUAUUUGACCCGAAACCGAUCGAUCUAGCCAUGAGCAGGUUGAAGAGAGCUCUAACAGGCCUUGGAGGACCGAACCCACGUAUGUGGCAAAAUACGGGGAUGACUUGUGGCUAGGGUUGAAAGGCCAACCAAGAUCGGAAUAGCUGGUUUUCCGCGAAAUCUAUUUCAGUAGAGCGUAUGAUGUUGAUGGCCCGAGGUAGAGCACUCAAUGGGCUAGGGUGACCUCAUUUCGCCUUACCAACCCCAGGGAAACUCCGAAUAGAGGCCUAGAUCGUUUGUACAUACAGACUUUUGGGUGCUAAGAUCCAAAGNUUCUGGGUUUAUACCAAAUCGACCGUAGAGAGAGUUCAUUAGUAUCUUGUAGAUAUAUACCAUAGCUGCAUCAUCCUUUAUCUUUGCUUCUUGUCUUCUAGCGAAGAUGUCUGAUACAAAGCCUUCAAAAGGACUCUUCUUUUUCUCAU